rnacentral:lncRNA from 1 species
GGGCUUGAGACAUUGUGUGUCUGACCUAUAUGCUUGUUUGUUCAGGAUCCCGUUUUGUUUUCUGGAACCUUGAGGAUGAAUUUGGAUCCAUUCAACCAGUAUACUGAUGAAGAAAUAUGGAGAGCCCUUGAACAUGCCCACCUGAAGCAAUAUACAGAGGGUCUGCAGGAGAAACUCUUCUAUGUAGUGAAUGAGGGAGGUGAAAAUCUCAGGUAAGCAUAGUUUAAUCCGAGCACAACCUGAUAAUAUAUGUGUAUUUAUACCAUCUUCUGUUUAAGCAUUUUCUUGAAAUGUCUUCUUGAUACUUUAAGGCAGUGGUUCCCAACCCAGUCCUCAAGUACUGGACAGUCCAGGAUUAAAGGAUUACCCAGUUGUGUUUAGGAAAAAACAAAACAAAACACUUUAGACACAAUAGGGUAAUCCCUAAAUCCAGGACUGGUAUUGGGUACUUGAGGACUGGGUUGGGAACCACUGCUUUAAGGGUAACAUAAAUUAAAGCGAAAUACUUUCCCUUCAUUAUGUAAGCACCCAAUUUGUAUUGUGGGACAGACAUAGAGCAUAAAUUAAGUUUUAAAGAAUUGUAUGCAAACGUAAAGGUAAAAAGUACAUAUCGGGGGUGGGGUUAACUGACGAUCAGUGCGGUCGCAUGUCUGUCGACAAAGCACAAAAAAGCUUAAAAAUAAGGAGCCUUUCUGUAGCACAAACUGCCCUGGCCAGAGCCGAUGAUGUCCGCAAGCAUAUGGGGCGGAAGAAUAAGAAACCGAGGCCGGACCGGUCCAGGUUUUCAGCCGACAUUAGUGAGCUCUUUAGAAGGCUGCAUGGUGCAAGCAGGCCGUACAUGCUGGACGAUUUCUCAGACGUCUCAGAUGAAGUUCCCCUGCAUAGACCAGCAGACCUGGGCUUUCAGGGACCUCCCACACCCCCUCCGGAGGCAGAAAGCGGCUCAGCCCGGUUAUCACCUCCAUCCUAACCAACCUCCUGACCGACCUCCACAAAAGCCUCUCUGCAGACAUACCCCAAGUACAGAAGGAUGUCAGGGGGUUCACAGCCCACUUAACCAAAGUAGAACAAACCGUGCAAGAGCAUACUCCCCAAGAAGCAGGUGAGGUAAGGGGCCUCACAACACCUCAGACAAAGUUUGACAGCCAGCUAGCAACUUUGCAGGAUAAGAGGAGGUGGAAACACUUGAAGAUCAGGGGUAUAUCAGACUUCACUACUAUGGCAGAGAUGCCACACUUCCUAUGCAGGUUGUUUAUGGCUUUACUACCCCCUAAAACAGCAAAGGGUAUUCGACUGGAUGACAUGUUUCGCCUACCCAAGCCUCAGUCUACUACUACCCCAGCUACCAGUGACCUCUUGGUUAAAUUUCAAAAUGGGCAAGAUAGAGCAGCCAUCUUACAAGCCACCGGGGGAAGACCCAUAUACCACUUUGAAGAAAUGGAUCUCACGUUCUCUGCUGAACUCUCUCAAUCAACACUGCAGUGGUGAAAGUCACUGAGACCCCUAAGAUCCACACUAAUGUCCCAAGGCCUGAAGUAUGGCUGGGGCACGCCUAGUAAGCUGAUAUUCCAGCACAAUGGUGCAGAACACAGAAUCACAGAAACAUCUGAAAUAUCCUGUCCUCCCUGGGACCUGGUCCUAACCCUCGACCCGCUACAACCACGUGGAAUCCCGCCACUGUGGUCCCGUUCACUCCUUGACCCCGAGGAGCAGCAGGAGUAGCCAUCACCUGAAUACAGCACUAUUGGUGUUGGGACUUGUCCCCUUUCUCUUCCUUUCACUUUACUUUUCAUUAAUGCUUUUUUUGUUUGUUUGUUUAAAAAUUGUGCAAUUAUCCGAUUUUGUUAAUGUUCUUCAUGGAUCAUCAGUCCUAUAACCAUUCUGCGCCACAGUUGUCACACUCAUGAGCCCUCGCCUUGAGUUAACCUUGAGCUUGCUACCUAGACACCACAGAGAUCCACAAAACAUUACGGCGCAGGAAAAUUUAGAAAUUUAAACUGGUUUCUGUUAUUAGUUUUGCACCAACACCAUCCACCUGUUGCAGCUCACUCUCUUAAGCCACGCUCUGCAAUUCAUGCACAGAAAUUACGUCAUCAGUCUACAUGAAAUUAAGAAUAUAAUAAGGAACAUGUUAACUGUUAUUAUAAAAAUGUGCCAAUAUCUAGACUGCCACACUACUGUUUAUCAAUUCUGUAUCAUGAUUAUGCCUGUCGUUGCUGUCGUGGCAAGACAAGCUUGUGUUAUUACCUGUGCAUGACAAAAAUGUAAGAUUUUUUUUAAAAGUACAUAUAUCAAAGAAGCAGAUGAAUUAUAAUAACCAAAAUAUUAACAUAAAAAGUAGGAAUUCUGUAAUGUGACAGUAUUAAAACUGUGUUGCCAUUACAAUGCUGUACAGAUACACUGUUAUAUGCAGUGCCAUAAUGACAUGGUGUACAGCAAUGUAUCUCAUGUUGUAGAGUAGGGGUGACCUGCCUUCAAAAUGCUGUGAGCUGUAAAUCAAUUCACUAGAAUCAUGGAGUUAGUCAUUAUUUCUUAAUAAACUAUAUAAUUGUAACUUUUGCAUGUAACUAGUGAAUGUCUUUGACCAUUUUAGAUCUUCAAUAGAUUUCUCUCUCGUUAUCUUCUCAAUGAUGAAUAAGUGUAGUGCUAUCCCAGAGAAACGCAAAAUGAGCAGUAAAAUAGACAAGAGAAACUUUAAAGUGUGCACAGAUAGAUGCUUUAGAAAGCAUCCAGGACUAGCAGCAAUAGCCUAAGUCUCAAGGGCAGAUCCUAAAUAGUUUUGUUUAAAUGCAUCAUCAUUUGAUGGCUACGUCCCCAUAAUAUUACUUACCGUAAUAUGGAAUGUGUCUCCUUUUCAUUUUACCUGAUAUUUUACCAGAAAUUUGUUCCUUUUCCAUGAUUUGUAAUGUAACUUGUUUCUCCUCUUGGUCCAGCGUUGGUCAGAGGCAACUUGUGUGCCUUGCUCGGGCUCUUCUCAGGAAAUCCAAAAUCCUCAUCCUGGAUGAAGCAACAGCUGCUGUAGAUUUGGAAACUGACAAUUUGAUCCAGAAAACGAUUCGCAGUGAAUUCUCAGACUGCACAGUGCUUACCAUUGCACAUAGAUUAAACACCAUUUUGGACAACAACAGGUGAGAAAGAUUGUUACACUGAGUCCUCAUCACACAAGCACACAACCUCUCUGUGGAACAGGCAAGUCUGAAAUGUCAGUGUCACUUACAGUAACGUUUUGACAAAGACCCAGUGUCGAAAUGUUGCUGUAACCUUGCUCCAAUAAACUUGCCUUGCUGAGCUUAGAAGUGCCUGGACCGUUUUUCUUUCUUUGGAUUUAACCUUGUGGGGAUUGUGCUAGCUCCUGGUCUUGUUGCACCCAACUUUAGCUCAAUCAGGGCUGGAUUAACAUAGGGGCUGAUGGAGCUGCAGCUCCAGCCCCAGGCCCAGGCCCAUAUAAUAGGCCCAUUUAAAAAAUAUAUAUAUUAUUUUUUUUUAUUUUUAUUUUUUACACACUACUCUUGGGUUUGCCACCUGACUGGUAUUUUACCAGCACAGCCGGUAUUUGGGGCUGCCUGGCCGUGCCAGUAUUGCAGUAAUACCGGCAAUACAAAUGCAGAUAUUUUUCUCAGUAUAAAUGGAGAUUACUCUGCAAUACCAGCACUAGCCAGUAGGGGUCACUGUGUGUGGAGAGAGGCAGGGAUAGGAAGUUACAGCAUAUCCCUCCCUGCCUCUCUUACUCACUGAUCCGCGGGGGAACAGCUACACAGCGUAGAGAGUUCAGACAGCAGCUCUCAGUCUGCAGACAGACAACAGCUCAGGGAAGUGAAGUGAAGGAUGGGUGGGAAAGGCAGCAGGGAAACAUGGGAACACUGAGACACUAGGGGACACUGAGACAUAGGGACACACUAGGGACGCAUUGUCUCCAUGUCUCCCAGUGUCCCUAUGUCUCCCAGCCAAUGUCCCUAGUAUCUCAGUGUCCCCAUGGCUCCCAGUGUCUCCCAGUGUCUGUGUCCCCAUGUCUGUGUCCCUAGAGUCUCAUUGUCCCCAUGUGUCCCCAAAUAUCUGUCUCCCAGUGUCCACAUGUCUCCCAGCCAGUGUCCCUAGUGUCUCAGUGUCGCAAAAUGUCUGUGUCCCCAUGUCUCCCAGCCAAUGUCCCUAGUGUCUCAGUGUCUCCACGGCACCCAGUGUCCCCUAGUCUCCCAUUGUAUGUGUCCCCAUGUCUCUCAGUGGCCCUAGUGUCUCAGUGUCUCCAUGUCUCCCAGUGUCCAUAUGUCUCCCAGGCAAUGUCCCUAGUAUCUCAGUGUCCCCAUGGCUCCCAGUGUCCCCUAGUCUCCCAGUGUCUGUGUCCCCAUGUCUCUGUGUCCCUAGAGUCUCAUUGUCCCCAUGUGUCCCAGUGUCCCCAAAUAUCUGUCUCCCAGUGACCUCAUGUCUCCCAGCCAGUGUCCCUAGUGUCUGUGUCCCAAAAUGUCUGUGUCCCCAUGUUUCCCAGUGUCCCCAUGUCUCCCAGCCAAUGUCCCUAGUGUCUCAGUGUCUCCACGGUACCCAGUGUCCCCUAGUCUCCCAGUGUAUGUGUCCCCAUGUCUCUGUGUCCAUAUGUCUCCCAGCCAGUAUCCCUAGUGUCUCAGUGUCCCCAUGUCUCCCAGUGCCCCAAAAUUUUUCAGUGUCCCCAUGUCUCCCAGUCUGGGUCCACAAGUGCCCCCAUGUCUCACAGUGUCCUCAAGCCUCCCAGCCAGUGUCCCUAGUGUCUCAGUGUCCCCAUGUCUCCCAGUGUCUGUGUCUCCAUGUCUCUGUGUCCCCAUGUCUCCCAGUCUCUGUGUCUCCAUGUCUCUGUCCCCAUGUCUCCCAGUGUCUCCAUGUCUCCCCAUGUCUGUAUCUACAAGUGCCCCCAUGUCUCUGUGUCCCAUGGUGUCCCACUGUCCCCAUGUCUCACCUUGUCCACGUGUCUCACUGUGUCCCCUAAUAUCCUAGUGACAAGGGAAACACCGAGACAUGGGGACACUGGGAGAAAUGAGGACACAGACACUGGAAGACUAGGGGACUGGGCGUCCAAUUCUUUGGACAGACAUGCCCCUUUUGGCAGUUCUGGUCACGUGAUUCGCGUCAAUGGCCCACCGUUUUACCCCGCCCAUUGACUUCCUGCUUCACUGGACACUGCUGUUAGCGGGUAUGGAUUUACUUGAAAGAUGAAAGCAUAAAUUAGAGAGAGAUUAGCAUAGAGUAUGUGUAUUCUUAUAGCUGCAUCCUUUGAGUUUCCCUCCAACACCAUCUCCAUUAGAUACAUGACGCUUGGGAGGUAUGACUGUUUUAGUGUCUUUGCUCGAUAAGAUUCUGUAAUUAGGCCCCAUCAUAAUGGUCAGCACCAGGCCCACUGGGCUCUUAAUCUAGCCCUGAGCUCAAUUGAUUGAGUACAGUUACUAUAAAUCUGGUUGUCACUCACAUUGACACAACAAUUUCUCCAGGAUUAUAAACAUGAUGCGCUAAUAGGGGAGGUUAAAGGUUCUGUUGUAGUCGAGGUAGUUGGUGUUGAAGGACUUAGGUUAGGGUAAAAAAACGCUGUCGAUUUUAACUCUCAUCAUUCUAUGUUUCAGUCUGCAGCAUAAGCCAGAUGCCCCAUAAAUAUACCUAACCAUGCAUCAGGGUUAUACUUCUGUAUUCUACAGCAUUACAUUACUGCGUACAUCAGUGUACUUGGUGCUACACCCUGUUAGUAUCAACAGCUUUGUAACACAGCCAUCGUAUGUUUAAUGUGCAACAUUGCAGUAUUGCUAAUAAAUGGCUGUUAAGUUUGUGUUGUAUUUUUUUUAUCAUCAUCAAUAUUCUUACGUACUGCUUUAGAAUUUCCAAUAUCCAAAAAAUAAAUAGGAACUACUUUGCCAAGUCCAAGUCCAAGUUUUAAAAAAAAGCUUGACAAAGGCUAUUGUCACCUGUCCUUUUUUUUUUUUUUUAAAUAUAUAUAUAUAUAUAUAGAUAUAGACCACAGUGUAGUAGUGCUGGGCAUGUGUUGGGGGAGGAGUUUCAUACUGAGAAUUUGAAAUGUUGGCUAAAUAAAUCCCCUUUCUUUUUUAUCAUAGGGUAAUGGUUUUGGACGCAGGGAAUAUUGUUGAAUUUGGAAGCCCAGAUGAGCUCUUUAAACGUCAAGGAAACUUCUAUUCUAUGGCCAAGGAUGCUGGUAUCGAUAGUGCUUCAAGUACUGUAUUUUAGAAACAGACGUGCUGCAAAUUGCAAAAGGCAAAGAAUAUGGAAAUGUGUGCCGGCAGCUCAGACAUCACAUCACAUCACAUAACACAACAAAACCAUGUCCACAUAAAUGCAACGUGACAAAGGAGCUAAUCAUUUGGACAAAGUCCUUAACUGAAUGGACUAAACAGGAGUGGUAAUGCUGUCGUUGUCUGCCAUUAAACUUUAUUUCAGUGAUGUGUUGGCACACUGUGUUCAUAAAACUCUGGCAGCAUUCACGUGGUGUCAUCAGCACUUACUCCAAAUGACUGCAGGCUAAAUAUGACUUCCACGCUGUGUUACCUGUUAAUAAGGUGGCCAGGAGUAGGUAUGUUUUAAUUAUGAGAGAAACUGUUAUUAUUAAGAAAUUGGGGUGCAUAUGAUGUAACCAGUCAAUAAACCCAUGUUUUUAUUUAUACUAUUUUCACGUUUGUUGCUCUGUUGGAAACACCUUGAAUGUUAAAA